UUACUAUUAUUACUGUUGAUAUUUGAAUCCAUAUGCUCAACAUUUUUACAAAUAUCGACUCUUUUUUCAAUAGGGUAAUUCAAAGAGAUUCUCAUAUGCGACACUGUGAAAAACUAAAAGAAUAGGUCAUGUCAUUGCCGAGGAAUGUGAUGAAAUGAUAAAUAUUUCUUCGUCCUUCAUCAAAGUUUUCGAAUUCAACUCAUGAAAAUUAAAAACUCCUUCCUUAAGAGUUUGUGUUACUCCAAUCCCUUCUUGGUGGAAUUACGCGAAUUCAAAUUAAUCGGCUUGGUGAGUUAAAAGAUAAAGAAUAUGGUUAAACCAAAAAAAAAAAAAACAGAGAGAAUAGGCAGGGUAGUAGUACUAAAUAUUCUCUAUAAAUAUUACUUAGUACUUGAUACUUAUAUAUACAACAACAAAAAAAAAGGUAAAACCCUUUCAUACAAAAACAAACCAAAAUUGAAAAAAAAAAAUCAUUGAGAUUUCCAUGGAAAACACUUAAGAUUAGAACAAGAACCAUCCCAAGUAGCACUACACCCAACACCA